rnacentral:rRNA from 14 species
UUAAGUAAGGGCGUAUGGCGGAUGCCUAGGCUCUCAGAGGCGAAGAAGGACGUGAUAAGCUGCGAAAAGUUGCGGGGAGAAGCACAUAUUUUAUGAUCCGCAAAUAUCCGAAUGGGGCAACCCAUCACAUUGAAGGUGUGAUAUCCGAAAGGAGGCAAACCCGGUGAACUGAAACAUCUAAGUAACCGGAGGAAGAGAAAACAAAAGUGAUUCCGUUAGUAGUGGCGAGCGAACGCGGAUUAGCCCAAACCAGGUUUGUUACGGCAAAUCUGGGGUUGUAGGACCACGAUAUUUGAAUCUAAGUGAACUGGAAUCCUUUGGAAAGAGGAAUCAAAGAGGGUGAUAAUCCCGUACAGGUAAGCGAAGAGGAGAUAGUGGUAUCCUGAGUAGUGCGGGGCACGUGGAACCCUGUAUGAAUCUGCCGGGACCAUCCGGUAAGGCUAAAUACUCCUGAGAGACCGAUAGUGAACUAGUACCGUGAGGGAAAGGUGAAAAGAACCCUAAGUAAGGGAGUGAAAGAGAACCUGAAACCGUACGCUUACAAGCGGUCGGAGCCAUUUUACAUGGUGACGGCGUGCCUUUUGCAUAAUGAGCCUACGAGUUACUUUAUCUAGCAAGGUUAAGUGUUUAAGACACGGAGCCGUAGCGAAAGCGAGUCUGAAUAGGGCGUUUAGUUAGGUUGAGUAGACGCGAAACCGAGUGAUCUACCCAUGGGCAGGUUGAAGCUGUGGUAACACACAGUGGAGGACCGAACCAGUUGACGUUGAAAAGUCUUUGGAUGACCUGUGGGUAGGGGUGAAAGGCCAAUCAAACUCGGAAAUAGCUCGUACUCCCCGAAAUGCAUUUAGGUGCAGCGUUGAGUAAAAGUUUUAUAGAGGUAGAGCUACUGAUUGGAUGCGGGGGCUUCACCGCCUACCAAUUCCUGACAAACUCCGAAUGCUAUAAAAUGUUUCUCAGCAGUGAGGGCAUGGGUGCUAAGGUCCAUGUCCGAGAGGGAAAGAACCCAGACCAUCAGCUAAGGUCCCCAAAUAUAUACUAAGUUGAAUAAACGAGGUUUGACUGCCCAGACAGCUAGGAUGUUGGCUUGGAAGCAGCCAUUCAUUUAAAGAGUGCGUAACAGCUCACUAGUCGAGCGGUCGAGCAUGGAUAAUAAUCGGGCAUAAGUAUAUUACCGAAGCUAUGGACUUGUAAAAGUGGUAGGGGAGCAUUGUAGUUGUGUAGAAGGUGAACUGUGAGGUUUGCUGGAACGGCUACAAAAGAAAAUGUAGGCAUAAGUAACGAUAAAGGGGGCGAGAAACCCCCUCACCGAAAGACUAAGGUUUCCUCAGCGAUGCUAAUCAGCUGAGGGUUAGUCGGGACCUAAGGCGAACCCGAAGGGGGUAGUCGAUGGACAACAGGUUAAUAUUCCUGUACUUCUUAUAAUUGCGAUGGGGUGACGGAGUAUUGAAAGCACCGCGGACUGACGGAUAUGUUCGUUAAAGUAUGUAGCUAUAGGCCUAGAUUAAGAGUUAAGGUUUGGCAAAGUACGAUAGUACCACAAAGCUUCGGCAGCGUGGAUAGUGUGCCUAAAAGCUUCCAAGAAAAACCUCUAAGCUUCAGAUUAUAAGAACCCGUACCGUAAACCGACACAGGUAGUUGGGAUGAGAAUUCUAAGGUGCUCGAGAGAUUCAUGGCUAAGGAACUAGGCAAAAUAGACCUGUAACUUCGGGAGAAAGGUCGCCCUCAGCAAUGAGGGCCGCAGUGAAAAGGUCCAGGCGACUGUUUAUCAAAAACACAGGGCUUUGCUAAAUUGAAAGAUGAUGUAUAAGGCCUGACACCUGCCCGGUGCUGGAAGGUUAAGUGGAGGGUUUAGCUUCGGCGAAGAUCUGAAAUGAAGCCCCAGUAAACGGCGGCCGUAACAAUAACGGUCCUAAGGUAGCGAAAUUCCUUGUCGGGUAAGUUCCGACCUGCACGAAUGGCGUAACGACUUCCCCACUGUCUCCAGGACAUGCUCAGCGAAAUUGAAUUCUCCGUGAAGAUGCGGAGUACCCGCGGUUAGACGGAAAGACCCCGUGCACCUUUACUGCAGCUUCAGAGUGGCAGUGGACAAGAACUGUGUAGCAUAGGUGGGAGGCUAUGAAGCAUCGGCGCCAGCUGAUGGGGAGCCAUAGGUGAAAUACCACCCUGUUGUUGUCUACUGUCUAACCUCGUUCCGUGAAGCCGGAACAGGGACCCUCUGUGGCGGGUAGUUUGACUGGGGCGGGCGCCC